rnacentral:rRNA from 1 species
UGGGGAAUUUUGGACAAUGGGCGAAAGCCUGAUCCAGCCAUUCCGCGUGAGUGAAGAAGGCCUUCGGGUUGUAAAGCUCUUUCGCAAGGGAAGAACACUUAGUCUCUAACAUAGACUGAGGUUGACGGUACCUUGAUAAGAAGCACCGGCUAACUACGUGCCAGCAGCCGCGGUAAUACGUAGGGUGCGAGCGUUAAUCGGAAUUACUGGGCGUAAAGCGUGCGCAGGCUGUUUUGUAAGUCAGAUGUGAAAUCCCCGAGCUCAACUUGGGAACUGCGUUUGAAACUACAAGACUAGAAUAUGUCAGAGGGGGGUAGAAUUCCACGUGUAGCAGUGAAAUGCGUAGAGAUGUGGAGGAAUACCAAUGGCGAAGGCAGCCCCCUGGGAUAAUAUUGACGCUCAUGCACGAAAGCGUGGGGAGCAAACAGGAUUAGAUACCCUGGUAGUCCACGCCCUAAACGAUGUCUACUAGUUGUUGGUGGAGU